UAGAUGAGCUGUAUGAGUCAGGAGUUCUGCUCUCCAGGUCUGAGGCUGUUCAUUGCCUGGGUUUGUCCAGCGGGCCUGAAGCCAUGGAGAGCAUAAUAUUUAGAGGUGGCGAACCCGACACCACCCUGCUUGCAUUCUUUGCUCCAGGCCUUCUGACCUAGUUGUCCUUUUCCUGUACCCCAUGCUUGCUCCCUGAGCCCUACGCUUGCUGUUCUCCAGAUUGAGGCUUUCUCCUCUUGCUUCAUACUCCCCUCCCUCAGCCCACUAUGCACUAUGUCAGGCCAACUGGUCUUACUCUGCAGGAGAGUCUGAGAUUCACUGUUGCUUCCUGUGGGGAGGCUUUUCUGAGCCCCCAGGCCUGGUGCUGUGUGCUCCCGUGGCAGCCCCUGCUUCUCCUGUACACCACAUAUUGCCAACUUGCUUCUGACUUUCCCCUACUGAGCUACAUUCUCCAUGAGUUGCCUCCUGGUUAUAAAGCAAAGCCAAACUGGAGAGACCAGUGCCAGAGCCUUUAUUACUAAAAGGCACAUGCAAAGUGCUGUAAGAUUUCACAGGAUGGAGAGAACAUCUGUGGCAGUGGACAGAGUCGUGAGUGACCACAGAAGGCUUUCUGGAGGCAGGACUUGAGGGCCUUUGCCUCAGACAUGCAUACGGCAGGAGUGUGAGAUCUAUGGAGUGGGCUCAGCUCAUGGAGCAAGGAGGACGGCAGGGGCUCCAAUGAUGAUGUCUGCGUAAGAAUUCCCAUUUAAGAUCUUUCCAAGCACAAGAGUCAUGGCCCAAUGGCAGAGUGUCCUAUGCCCACGAAUAAAUCAAGGAUGAAGAA
rnacentral:lncRNA from 1 species